rnacentral:rRNA from 1 species
UACGAAGGGGACUAGCGUUGUUCGGAAUCACUGGGCGUAAAGCGCACAUAGGCGACUAUGUCAGUCAGGGGUGAAAUCCCGGGGCUCAACCUCGGAACUGCCCUUGAUACAGCAUGUCUUGAGUCCGAUAGAGGUGGGUGGAAUUCCUAGUGUAGAGGUGAAAUUCGUAGAUAUUAGGAAGAACACCGGUGGCGAAGGCGGCCCACUGGAGCGGUACUGACGCUGAGGUGCGAAAGCGUGGGGAGCAAACAGG